rnacentral:rRNA from 1 species
CGUUUAGGGGUAAACCUGAGAAACCCGAAAGGUCGAAGGGAGAAAUUCAUUCGCGUCUCGUAUUCGGCGAGUCGUGGUGCGAGCGACGAAGGGCGUUUACGUUCAACGCGCUCCCCGCGAUUCGAUCCGGAGGCGAACGCGUGCACUUUUCUCCUGGUAGGACGUCGCGAUCCGUUAAGUGUCGGUCUACGGUGCGAGGUGGAGCCCGUUCGUCGUGUUCGCGCACGUACGGACGGACCCGCGUAUCCCGGCCGACUCGCUCAACGGUAUACGAAAGGUUUUGGGCCGCUAUUUUAUUAGCGUCCGACUCGGGGCAAGCGCGCCAGAAUCGUCGACGACCGGACCUGGUGCCGAUCUCGAUCUCUGGUGACUGUUGGCUCCGAUGUUCUCGGACAGUUUCUCGAAACCGAUCGGCGACGCUAUAGCUUUGGGUACUUUCAGGACCCGUCUUGAAACACGGACCAAGGAGUCUAGCAUGUGCGCGAGUCAUUGGGUCAAUUUCGAAACCUAAAGGCGCAAUGAAAGUGAAGGUCUUCCUCGCGAAGGCCGAGGGAGGACGAUCGGUCGGCCCUUAAAAGUCGCCGUUCCGCACUCCCGGGGCGUCUCGUUCUCAUCGCGAGAAGAGGCGCACCACGAGCGUACACGCUGGGACCCGAAAGAUGGUGAACUAUGCCUGGU